CAACAGCACGCGGUUCCCAGGUGGUCACCUCCCAAGUACUGACCCGCCUGAUGCUUAUGCUCGUGAUCAGACGAGAACCGGUGCUUUCAGCAUGGUAUGGCCGU